GGUUUUCUGCGAAAUCUAUUUUGGUAGAUGACUUGUUAUUAUUUGUAGUGGGUAUAGCACUGAAUAUCUAACUUAUGUUAGAAGGGAGUAUGAAGGUACUUACUUUGGAUAUUUAAUCUCAGAAUAGCUAUUAAUAUAUGAUGAGUUAUCAGACUUCUUGCGAUAAGGUGAGGAGUCGAGAGGNAAACAGCCCAAGA
rnacentral:rRNA from 1 species